UUCAGCAUAAGUCACUUUAUCUUUAUGGUAAAUGUGAGAUGCAGUGUAUGGAAUGUUCAAUUUUAUCAUGAGAAAUUAACGAUUUAAGUCCUUCUUAAAUGAGGCCAUUUAUCCAUAGAGGGUGCCAGGCCCGUAUAACGUUAAUGAUUGAUAGAGAACAUUUCCAAAAUCGUGUUGCUUGAUAGUGCAGCACUAAGUGGGUGGUAAACUCCAUCUAAAACUAAAUAUAACCAUGAGACCGAUAGUAAACAAGUACCGUGAGGGAAAGUUGAAAAGAACUCUGAAUAGAGAGUUAAAUAGUACGUGAAACUGCUUAGAGGUUAAGCCCGAUGAACCUGAAUAUCCCAUAUGGAAAAUUCAUCAUCAUGACAAUGGUAUUUAUCAUAUUGUUGUAAUGGUGUGCAUUUUUUCCAUAUAAGGACAUUGUAAUCUAUUAAUAUGACAUAAAUUUAUCAUAAGAUCAAUGCUAAAAGUUUAUUCAAAUUAUUUUGCUUGCAAUUUAACAUAGAAUAAGUGGUAUUGAUUUGAUAAAGUGUUGAUAGAUUAAUAAUGUAUAGUGCUUGAAUACAUAAUAUCAUGGUGAUCAUUGAUUAUUAUGUUUAUUAUAUGC
rnacentral:rRNA from 1 species